AUUGAACGCUGGCGGCAUGCUUUACACAUGCAAGUCGAACGGCAGCGGGGUAGUGCUUGCACUACUGCCGGCGAGUGGCGAACGGGCGAGUAAUAUAUCGGAACGUACCGAGUAAUGGGGGAUAACCAAUCGAAAGAUUGGCUAAUACCGCAUACGUCCUGAGAGAGAAAGCGGGGGAUCGCAAGACCUCGCGUUAUUCGAGCGGCCGAUAACUGAUUAGCUAGUUGGUGGGGUAAAGGCCUACCAAGGCGACGAUCAGUAGCGGGUCUGAGAGGACGAUCCGCCACACUGGGACUGAGACACGGCCCAGACUCCUACGGGAGGCAGCAGUGGGGAAUUUUGGACAAUGGGGGCAACCCUGAUCCAGCCAUGCCGCGUGUAUGAAGAAGGCCUUCGGGUUGUAAAGUACUUUUGUUAGGGAAGAAAAGGGAAGUGCUAAUACCACUUUUUGCUGACGGUACCUAAAGAAUAAGCACCGGCUAACUACGUG
rnacentral:rRNA from 1 species